UAGGGAAUAUUGGGCAAUGGAGGGAACUCUGACCCAGCCAUGCCGCGUGCAGGAUGAAGGCGUUAUGCGUUGUAAACUGCUUUUUAUAUAGGAAGAAAUAGUCCUUGCGAGGAAAGUUGACGGUACUAUAUGAAUAAGCACCGGCUAACUCCGUGCCAGCAGCCGCGGUAAUACGGAGGGUGCAAGCGUUGUCCGGAUUUAUUGGGUUUAAAGGGUGCGUAGGCGGCCCUGUAAGUCAGUGCUGAAAUAUCCCGGCUUAACCGGGAGGGUGGCAUUGAUACUGCAGGGCUUGAGUACAGAUGAAGUAGGCGGAAUUGACGGUGUAGCGGUGAAAUGCAUAGAUAUCGUCAAGAACACCGAUAGCGAAGGCAGCUUACUAAGCUGUAACUGACGCUGAGGCACGAAAGUGUGGGGAUCAAACAGGAUUAGAUACCCUUGUAGUCCCUGAGCGGGCUGGCAAGGCGCAU
rnacentral:rRNA from 1 species